UCGAGCGCCCUUUCGGGGGAGCGGCAGACGGGUGAGUAACGCGUGGGGAUCUGCCCUUUGGUACGGAAUAAUCUCGGGAAACUGGGACUAAUACCGUAUGAGCCCUUCGGGGGAAAGAUUUAUCGCCAAAGGAUGAACCCGCGUCAGAUUAGCUAGUUGGUGGGGUAAAGGCUCACCAAGGCGACGAUCUGUAGCUGGUCUGAGAGGAUGAUCAGCCACACUGGGACUGAGACACGGCCCAG
rnacentral:rRNA from 1 species